GAUGAACGCUGGCGGCGUGCCUAAUACAUGCAAGUCGAGCGAACGGACGAGAAGCUUGUUUCUCUGAUGUUAGCGGCGGACGGGUGAGUAACACGUGGAUAACCUAUCUAUAAGACUGGGAUAACUUCGGGAAACCGGAGCUAAUACCGGAUAAUAUUUUGGACCGCAUGGUUCUAAAGUGAAAGACGGUCUUGUUGUUACUUAUAGAUGGAUCCGCGCUGGCUUAGCUGGUUGGUAAUGUAACGGCUUACCAAGGCAACGAUGGAUAGCCGACCUGAGAGGGUGAGCGGCGACACGGGAACUGAGACACGGUCCAGACUCCUACGGGAGGCAGCAGUAGGGAAUCUUCCGCAAUGGGCGAAAGCCUGACGGAGCAACACCGCGUGAGUGAUGAAGGUCUUCGGAUCGUAGAACUCUGUUAUUAGGGAAGAACAUAUGUGUAAGUAACUGGGCACAUCUUGACGGUACCUAAUCAGAAAGCCACGGCUAACUACGUG
rnacentral:rRNA from 1 species